rnacentral:rRNA from 1 species
UACGAAGGGUGCGAGCGUUGUUCGGAAUUAUUGGGCGUAAAGCGCACGUAGGCGGCCUUGUAAGUCUCACUGUGAAAGCCCGGGGCUCAACCCCGGGAGGCCAGGGGAUACUGCGAGGCUGGAGACAAGCAGAGGUUGGUAGAAUUCCGGGUGUAGCGGUGGAAUGCGUAGAGAUCCGGAGGAAUACCAGAGGCGAAGGCGGCCAACUGGGCUUGUUCUGACGCUGAGGUGCGAAAGCGUGGGGAGCGAACAGG